AUACGUAGGGGGCGAGCGUUGUCCGGAAUGACUGGGCGUAAAGGGUACGUAGGCGGCCAGGCAAGUCAGAUGUGAAAGGCAUAGGCUCAACCUGUGUAAGCAUUUGAAACUGUCUGGCUUGAGUUAAGGAGAGGAAAGUGGAAUUCCUGGUGUAGCGGUGAAAUGCGUAGAUAUCAGGAGGAAUACCAGUGGCGAAGGCGACUUUCUGGACUUAUACUGACGCUGAGGUACGAAAGCGUGGGGAGCAAACAGGAUUAGAUACCCUGGUAGUCCACGCCGUAAACGAUGAGUGCUAGGUGUCGGGUGUAAAAGCUCGGUGCCGGAGUUAACACAAUAAGCACUCCGCCUGGGGAGUACGUUCGCAAGAAUGAA
rnacentral:rRNA from 1 species